rnacentral:ncRNA from 1 species
GUGUUCCUGAAAGGAGGGACGGCUAGCACUCUUCUUGACAAGGAUGGAAAAGGCCCUUGGGCCUGACAACAUGCAUAUGGUUAAGGCAUCAUCAGCUGCCUACUUCG